rnacentral:rRNA from 1 species
AACGUUAAUCGGGGCAGGGUGAGUCGACCCCUAAGGCGAGGCCGAAAGGCGUAGUCGAUGGGAAACAGGUUAAUAUUCCUGUACUUGGUGUUACUGCGAAGGGGGGACGGAGAAGGCUAUGUUAGCCGGGCGACGGUUGUCCCGGUUUAAGCAUGUAGGCUGAUUGUCCAGGCAAAUCCGGAUAAUCAAGGCUGAGGUGUGAUGACGAGGCACUACGGUGCUGAAGUAACAAAUGCCCUGCUUCCAGGAAAAGCCUCUAAGCAUCAGGUAACAUUAAAUCGUACCCCAAACCGACACAGGUGGUCAGGUAGAGAAUACCAAGGCGCUUGAGAGAACUCGGGUGAAGGAACUAGGCAAAAUGGUGCCGUAACUUCGGGAGAAGGCACGCUGGUGUGUAGGUGAAGUCCCUGCGGAUGGAGCUGAGACCAGUCGAAGAU